rnacentral:rRNA from 1 species
CACGUAGGCGGAUUUGUUAGUCAGGGGUGAAAUCCCGGGGCUCAACCUCGGAACUGCCUUUGAUACUGCAAGUCUUGAGUCCGGAAGAGGUGAGUGGAAUUCCUAGUGUAGAGGUGAAAUUCGUAGAUAUUAGGAAGAACACCAGUGGCGAAGGCGGCUCACUGGUCCGGUACUGACGCUGAGGUGCGAAAGCGUGGGGAGCAAACA